rnacentral:rRNA from 1 species
GUGUGGUAGGGGCAGAGGGUAUUCCCGAUGUAGCGGUGAAAUGCGUAGAUAUCGGGAAGAACACCAGUGGCGAAGUCGCUCUGCUGGGCCAUAACUGACGCUCAUGGACGAAAGCCAGGGAGCGAAAGUGAUUAGAUACCCCUGUAGUCCUGGCCGUAAACGAUGAACACUAGUUGUCGGGGGAAUCGACCCCCUCGGUGUCGUAGCCAACGCGUUAAAUGUUCCGCCUGGGGAGUACGCACGCAAGUGUGAAACUCAAAGGAAUUGACGGGGGCCCGCACAAGCGGUGGAGUAUGUGGUUUAAUUCGAUGCAACGCGAAGAACCUUACCAGGGUUUGACAUCCUGCGAACCUCUUGGAAACGAGAGAGUGCCUUCGGGAGCGCAGUGACAGGUGGUGCAUGGCUGUCGUCAGCUCGUGUCGUGAGAUGUUGGGUUAAGUCCCGCAACGAGCGCAACCCACGUCGUUAGUUGCCAGCAUUUAUUUGGGCACUCUAGCGAGACCGCCGGUGAUAAACCGGAGGAAGGUGUGGAUGACGUCAAGUCAUCAUGCCCCUUACAUCCUGGGCUACACACGUACUACAAUGCUACGGACAAAGGGCAGCAAGCUCGCGAGAGUUAGCAAAUCCCAUAAACCGUGGCUCAGUUCAGAUCGUAGGCUGCAACUCGCCUACGUGAAGGAGGAAUCGCUAGUAAUUGCAGGUCAGCAUACUGCGGUGAAUACGUUCCCGGGCCUUGUAUACACCGCCCGUCACACCAUGGAAGUUGGCCACGCCCGAAGCCGUUACUCCAACCCUUGUGGAGGAGGACGUCGAAGGUGGGGCUGAUGACUGGGGUGAAGUCGUAACAAGGUAGCCGUACCGGAAGGUGCGGCUGGAUCACCUCCUAA